UGGCUCAGUGGUUAAGAGCACUGGCUGCUCUUCCAGAGAACGUGGGUUCAAUUCCCAC
rnacentral:tRNA from 1 species